AUGGCUAAACUGAGCGCAGCUGAGAAACAGCGACUAUACAGAAAGCGAAGGGAUGCUGAUCCUGAACGCAGAGCAGAGUAUUUGCAGAAAAGGAAACAGAGCUAUGUCCGUGACAUUGACACACAAAAAAGAAAGAGAGUAAAAAGAGUUAGUUAAGAUGUUUAAAAUGGUUUAAUCGUUAAGGCUUCCGGGUCACGGUCGUCACUAUGGCAACCAAGACACACUGGAUUAACGUUAGCACAUGAAUCGUUGCAUUGUUGCAAAUACAGUUAAGCGUGUUACAUGAAAUGUCGGCUCAUUUCAACACUGUACAAAUAACAACACCGCCUUUCAAUUGGUUUUGCGAUGUGGCACUUAAACUCUCAGUUUGUAUAGAGUUAAAUUUAUCUUAAUUCAGAUAUAGCAGCUUCCUGCUGUAGUUAGGGGGGCACAGCGAUAGCGACCUUCUGCAGAUCUGAAUCUCGGUGCUAGUUUCUCUGGAUACAAAAAAGUUUCCUUCGCUGUUGGUACACAGUUAAAAUUUACUUGAUCAAGCUUUUAAACACUCCCAUUCAAAUUAUUCUCGGACACACGCAGUGUUACGCGAGAUUGCAUUCACUUUGUGAACGGAUACAAAUGGGCAAACAUUGUUCUCUAAUGUUUAACGUUAACUUAGGGGAGUCAAAUAUCAAAUUUGAUUCGGCAGUGGAACACGCACUGGCAAUCAGACUAUAUGAAUAUGGGGGCUUUGAUAAAUAGUUUUGAGGAAUACGCUAAAAACUAUUCUUUAUUUUUGAAACACUAACAGUUUAGCUCCGUUCAGCAAACAGUGACUGAGAUAGCGUUUGAAAGGCACUGGAACAGGCAGUGAAAUCAAAUCAGCUAUAAAACAAGGCAUUACACAAAUGAGGAACACGCUCAAUUUCUACCUUAUUGUACGAUCUCAGAUGUUUACUUUUAAGUUCACUUACUGCUGUUAACAUUGAAGAGACAAAGUCGAGUUACACAGUCUCCUCUGGCUGCUUUCAUUCAUUACGUCACGCGUCACACAAACACACAUACUCACGUCUCGCAAGCUUCUCAUCUUUCAUUCCUUUAGCAAAAUCAAAUAUUAAAUGACUUGGUUUAUGCUCACAAUUUAGAUUAAACUGCCCGCAUUUUUCUCCACCAUAAUAAAAUGUAACGGAAACAGGUAAAUUUAGCUCAAAGGGAAUCAUUUAAGAUUUUAAAGGGAAUUUAAACAGAAUCACUGUUUCACGGCUGUUCACGGAGACGCGCCUGCGGUUCAGUGAACAAGCCGUUUAACAUCAAAUCUGCGCUGGAUACUAAUAUCCAAACUAUAGUGAAAACACUAUCAAUUAGCACAGUAACAAGAUCAGCAGUUUAAGACAUUAACUUGUAAGCACAAAACACAAGAUACUUCUCUUUUCAAUAUGAAUAAGGCUUUAUUAGAUAAAUCUAAGACAUAUAAACUAAUCUAACACAUAAACGCACGCACUCACACAUUCACACAAGAUGCAGGAAGAUCGAAAGUUAGGGAAAUAUGAGUUUAAGAGAAUGGAAAUAUGGAAUCCCAAGUUUACAGCAAUAC
ensembl:lncRNA